GACGAACGCUGGCGGCGUGCUUAACACAUGCAAGUCGAACGGACAGGCCCUGCUUUUGUGGGGUGCUCGAGUGGCGAACGGGUGAGUAACACGUGAGUAACCUGCCCUUGACUUUGGGAUAACUUCUGGAAACUGGGGCUAAUACCGGAUAGGAGCUCCUGCUGCUUGGUGGGGGUUGGAAAGUUUCGGCGGUUGCGGAUGGACUCGCGGCUUAUCAGCUUGUUGGUGGGGUAGUGGCUUACCAAGGCUUUGACGGGUAGCCGGCCCGGUAGGGUGACCGGCCACAUGGGGACUGAGAUACGGCCCAGACUCCUACGGGAGGCAGCAGUGGGGAAUAUUGCACUAUGGGCGGAGGCCUGAGGCAGCAACGCCGCGUGCGGGAUGACGGCCUUCGGGUUGUAAACCGCGUUCGCCUGUGACGAAGCGUGAGUGACGGUAAUGGGUAAAGAAGCACCGGCUAACUACGUG
rnacentral:rRNA from 1 species